AUUGAACGCUGGCGGCAGGCCUAACACAUGCAAGUCGAGCGAGCGGCGGACGGGUGAGUAAGGGAUGGGGACUGCCGGUAAGCUGGGGAUAAGUGCUGGAUACGGUGGGGAAUAACGUACAAUGUCGGAUACCGCAUAUGGAAUUAGCUAGUAGGUAAGGUAAUGGCUUACCUAGGCGACGAACCCUAGCUGGUCUGAGAGGAUGAUCGGCCACACUGGGACUGAGACACGGCCCAGACUCCUACGGAGGCAGCAGUGGGGAAUAUUGCACAAUGGGCGCAAGCCUGAUGCAGCCAUGCCGCGUGUAUGAAGAAGGCCCUAGGGUUGUAAAGUACUUUCAGUCGGGAGGCGUUACCGACAGAAGAAGCACCGGCUAACUCCGUGCCAGCAGCCGCGGUAAUUC
rnacentral:rRNA from 1 species